UACAGGGGGGGCAAGCGUUGUUCGGAGUUACUGGGCGUAAAGCGUGCGUAGACGGUUACAUAAGUCGGGUGUGAAAGCCCCGGGCUCAACCUGGGAAUUGCAUUCGAGACUGCGUAGCUAGGGUGCGGAAGAGGGAAGCGGAAUUUCCGGUGUAGCGGUGAAAUGCGUAGAUAUCAGGAGGAACACCGGUGGUGUAGACGGCUCUCUGGACCGUAACUGACGCUGAGACACGAAAGCGUGGGUAGCGAACAGG
rnacentral:rRNA from 1 species